rnacentral:rRNA from 1 species
UACGAAGGGGGCUAGCGUUGCUCGGAAUCACUGGGCGUAAAGCGCACGUAGGCGGCUUUCUAAGUCAGGGGUGAAAUCCUGGAGCUCAACUCCAGAACUGCCUUUGAUACUGGAGAGCUUGAGUCCGGGAGAGGUGAGUGGAACUCCGAGUGUAGAGGUGAAAUUCGUAGAUAUUCGGAAGAACACCAGUGGCGAAGGCGGCUCACUGGCCCGGUACUGACGCUGAGGUGCGAAAGCCAGGGGAGCAAACGGG